rnacentral:rRNA from 1 species
AUGUAGCGGGUGGAAAAUGCUUAGAAUAUUACACCAGAACACCCGAUUGGCGAAAGGGCAAGCUUACUGGGGCCAUUACUGACGGCUGAUGCACGAAAAGGCGUGGGGAGCGAACAGGAUUAGAUACCCUGGGUAGUCCACGCCGUAAACGAUGAUCACUCGCUGUUGGCGAUACACAGUCAGCGGCUAAGCAAAAGCAUUAAGUGAUCCACCUGGGGAGUACGGCCGCAAGGCUGAAACUCAAAGGAAUUGACGGGGGCCCGCACAAGCGGAGGAACAUGUGGUUUAAUUCGAUGAUACGCGAGGAACCUUACCUGGGCUUAAAUGUAGAGUGCAUGAGGUAGAAAUACUUCUUCCCUUCGGGGCUCUUUGCAAGGUGCUGCAUGGUUGUCGUCAGCUCGUGCCGUGAGGUGUCGGGUUAAGUCCCAUAACGAGCGCAACCCUUAUCGUUAGUUGCCAGCGGGUAAUGCCGGGAACUCUAACGAAACUGCCGGUGUAAACCGUGAGGGAGGUGGGGAUGACGUCAAAUCAGCACGGCCCUUAUGUCCAGGGCUACACACGUGUUACAAUGGCCGGUACAGAGGGCAGCUACCUGGAGACAGGAUGCGAAUCUCCAAAGCCGGUCUCAGUUCGGAUCGGAGUCUGCAACUCGACUCCGUGAAGCUGGAUUCGCUAGUAAUCGCCCAUCAACCAUGAUGC